ACCAGACUCCUACGGGAGGCAGCAGUGGGGGAUAUUGCACAAUGGGGGGAACCCUGAUGCAGCGACGCCGCGUGGGUGAAGAAGCGCCUCGGCGCGUAAAGCCCUGUCAGCAGGGAAGAAAAUGACGGUACCUGAAGAAGAAGCCCCGGCUAACUACGUGCCAGCAGCCGCGGUAAUACGUAGGGGGCAAGCGUUAUCCGGAUUUACUGGGUGUAAAGGGGGCGCAGACGGCGAUGCAAGCCAGGAGUGAAAGCCCGGGGCCCAACCCCGGGACUGCUCUUGGAACUGCGUGGCUGGAGUGCAGGAGGGGCAGGCGGAAUUCCUGGUGUAGCGGUGAAAUGCGUAGAUAUCAGGAGGAACACCGGUGGCGAAGGCGGCCUGCUGGACUGCAACUGACGUUGAGGCCCGAAAGCGUGGGGAGCAAACAGGAUUAGAUACCCGAGUAAUG
rnacentral:rRNA from 1 species